rnacentral:rRNA from 1 species
UACAGAGGUGCCGAGCGUUAGGCGGAAUCACUGGGCUUAAAGCGCGUGUAGGCGGGUCGUUAAGUGUCCGCGUGAAAUCCCUCGGCUCAACCGGGGCACUGCGUCUGAGACUGAAUGGCUUGAAUCCGGGAGAGGGAUGCGGAAUUCCAGGUGUAGCGGUGAAAUGCGUAGAUAUCUGGAGGAACACCGGUGGCGAAGGCGGCAUCCUGGACCGGUAUUGACGCUGAGGAGCGAAAGCCAGGGGAGCAAACGGG